GACGAACGCUGGCGGCGUGCUUAACACAUGCAAGUCGAACGGAAAGGCCCUGCUUUUGUGGGGUGCUCGAGUGGCGAACGGGUGAGUAACACGUGAGUAACCUGCCCUUGACUUUGGGAUAACUUCAGGAAACUGGGGCUAAUACCGGAUAGGAGCUCCUGCUGCAUGGUGGGGGUUGGAAAGUUUCGGCGGUUGGGGAUGGACUCGCGGCUUAUCAGCUUGUUGGUGGGGUAGUGGCUUACCAAGGCUUUGACGGGUAGCCGGCCUGAGAGGGUGACCGGCCACAUUGGGCCUGAGACGCGGCCCGGACCCUAGCGGGGGGCAGAGGUGGGAAAUUUGCCACGUGGGGCGGAGGCCUGCGCCCCCACCCCCGGGUGCGGGAGGGCGGCCUUCGGGUUAUAACCCCCUUUCGCGGGGGACGAGGGGGGAGUGCGGGUAAUGGAUAAAAAAGCCCCGGCUAACUACGUC
rnacentral:rRNA from 1 species